AAAAAAGACUAAGUGUGAGGAAAAAGAACAAAGUGUGAGAAAAGGAGAAAAAGAACAAAGUGUGAAAAUAGCAAAGUGUGAGAAAAGAGGAAAAACAACAAAGUGUGAGGAAAGAGGAAAAAGAACAAAGUAUGGAAAAAGAACAAAGUGUGAAAAUAGCAGUGUGAGGAAAGAGGAAAAAGAACAAAGUGUGAGGAAAGAGGAAAAAGAGCAAAGUGUGAAAAAAGAACAAAGUGUGAAAAUAGCAAAGUGUGAGGAAAGACGAAAAAGAACAAAGUGUGAAAAUAGCAAAGUGUGAAAAAAGAGGAAAAAGAACAAAGUGUGAAAAUAGCAAAGUGAGAAAAGAGGAAAAAUAGCAAAGUGUGAAAAAAGAGGAAAAAGAACAAAGUGUGAGGAAAGAGGAAAAAGAACAAAGUGUGAAAAUAGCAAAGUGAGAAAAGAGGAAAAAUAGCAAAGUGUGAAAAAAGAGGAAAAAGAACAAAGUGUGAAAAUAGCAAAGUGUGAGAAAAGAGGAAAAAGAACAAAGUGUGAAAAUAGCAAAGUGUGAGAAAAGAGGAAAAAGAACAAAGUGUGAAAAUAGCAAAGUGUGAAAAAAAGAGGAAGAAGAACAAAGUGUGAAAAUAGCAAAGUGUGAAAAAAAGAGGAAAAAGAACAAAGUGUGAAAAUAGCAAAGUGUGAGAAAAGAGGAAAAAGAACAAAGUGUGAGGAAAGAGGAAAAAGAACAAAUGUGAAAAAAAGAGGAAAAAGAACAAAGUGUGAAAAUAGCAAAGUGUGAGAAAAGAGGAAAAAGAACAAAGUGUGAAAAUAGCAAAGUGUGAGAAAAGAGGAAAAAGAACAAAGUGUGAGGAAAGAGGAAAAAGAACAAAGUGUGAAAAUAGCAAAGUGUGAAAAAAGAGGAAAAAGAACAAAGUGUGAAAAUAGCAAAGUGUGAGAAAAGAGGAAAAAGAACAAAGUGUGAGGAAAUAGCAAAGUGUGAGGAAAGAGGAAAAAGAACAAAGUGUGAAAAUAGCAAAGUGUGAAAAAAGAGGAAAAAGAACAAAGUGUGAAAAUAGCAAAGUGUGGGAAAAUAGCAAAGUGUGAGGAAAGAGGAAAAAGAACAAAGUGUGAAAAUAGCAAAGUGUGAAAAAAGAGGAAAAAG
ensembl:lncRNA